rnacentral:rRNA from 1 species
UAGCAUAUCAUUUGACGUUAGCUGCAGAAGAAGCACCGGCUAACUCCGUGCCAGCAGGCCGCGGUAAUACGGGAGGGUGACGAGCGUUAAUCGGAAUUACGUGGGACGUAAAGCGCAUGCAGGUGGUUUGUUAAGUCAGAUGUGAAAGCCCGGGGCUACAACCUACGGAAUUGCUAUUUAGAACUGGCAACUAGAGUACUGUAGAGGGGGUAGAAUUUCAGGUGUAGCGGUGAAAUGCGUAGAGAUCUGAAGGAAUACCGGUGGCGAAGGCGGCCCCCUCGGACAGAUACUGACACUCAGAUGCGAAAGCGUGGGGAGCAAACAGGAUUAGAUACCCUGGUAG